AUUUAGAUUGUCAUCAACGUAAAUAACUAUGUGCACUUCAUAAUUUGUAUUUUAUCAUUCAGUAUGGAGCUUCAAAGAUGCCGGAAAGAAGGAUGGCAUCAUCAGGUGGGCUUCAUGAUGCCGUUGAUAAUCAACAAGAAAACUCUUAACGAGAACUACAAGGAGACGUGUCAAAACAUGUACCAUGCCCUGAUGCGCCAACAUUACAAAUCUUAUAUAAUGAUACCCUACAACUAUGGGUAAGUCUUGGUCGAGUAAAACCUCUUUUAUAUUCCUAAAUAAAUGCUAAGUCUAAUAUGGUUGUGUAUAUAUCUGCAUUUAUCAUUGGGUUUUGCUCAUAAUUUGCAUGGAGAGCGGCAAUCUUACAGUGUUCGACUCCAUGAGGUGCCCAUAGUCUGCAAUCCAACACUUCAUAGACCCAUUGAACAGGGUGUGGAAAUAAUUUGUAAAGAAGAACAAAGGAGUCAGUGGAGGGAAGUCGUAAUUGGAUGUUAGAAUAGAUUUUCCGUGUGCGAGAUAACAACAAGGAACUGAUUGGUGUGGGUACUAUGUAUGCGACUACAUACAUGGUCUUGUAGAAUGCGGGAAAGAAACUUCGGAGGAAGCCAGAAUGUCGCAAAUCUACAUGGCUUCUUUCGAUGUUGAUCGGAUUAACGCCAUGUGCGAGCAGCUCACAGGAUUCAUUGUGAAGGAGAUCCUGGAUCCUAGAGGCGAGUUCUACCAUGACGGACACAUCAAUAGCGUGUCCUCUUCAAACUCUUGAGGGAUUAGUAACUGCAGUAUAAACAUGACUUGUAUAUUUGUAAAUAUUUUUAAACGUGAUGUCGUGUAGUUUGUAUAUUUGUACAUAUAUUGUAAUUGCUAGCUAACUUAACUA